GGUGCCUAUAUGAUGAACUAUUUUCGGAUGAAAAACAUUUCUUGUCUGAAUUGCGCAAACAAACCCCAUGUUGAUAUUUCCGUUGCCUUCCUUCUGAUCUGGCCC
rnacentral:snoRNA from 1 species